UGCUUUUCUCUCUCCUCCCUUGCUGGAAAGAGUGCAGAGAGUAGACUUGAACCCUGUCAUUUUGCUGCUGGAUGGUCAGAGAUCUCAAAGCAAGGCUUGUUGGACAAAUAAAUGAAGAUGAGCCCAAGAGCCCAGGAGAGGGACCGGGAACAGCAGGGCCUCCGUGACUCACACAAGCUUCAUCCCUGAACCAAGGACGCAGCCUGCCAACAAUGGCCCCAAGCCACACCCCGCCACAGGGGGAACUGAUGCUGCGGUGAGAAGUGACAGCUUUCUGUUGACUCUUUUUUUUUUCAAGCAGAAUAUGAAUUGAGACAUACUUUCAUUUUCAUAAUCAGAACCUAACACUUAGUAACCAAUGUUGGUGGAAGCAAAUGAGAUCACAGUUUGUCUGUUCCAAACUCAUCUCUGGGAAAAGGAGGAGGAAAAAUUAUUGGCACUAUGUUCAGAAUCAUAGCUGAAGAUGCAGAAAUUGUUCAUCCCAAUUUUGCCUUUGUAAGUAAUGUGGGGGCAGUUCUUAUUAGUAAUUGCCAAUCUCUACUGAGACACAGUAUUUUGCUAGGCGCUUUAUAUUCAUUUCCUGGUAUGAUCAUGACAUUAACCCUGUGAAAUGCGUACCCUUACUAUCUCCAUGUGAAGAAAUGAGGGAACUGAGGACCAGAGAGGUGAACUGACUUGUCCAAAGACACACAGUAAGGGCUGUGACUCUCCGCUUUCUAAGAUUUUUGUUCUUAUCGCUCCACAGCACAUAGCAGGCGUAGUAUGAAGGCAGCAUGCUGCACAAUUUCGCUGUUUGUUUCUUGGAAUAAUAAUUUAUAGGGGACUGCUUCUAGAUUCCAAAGGAAAGAGAAAGGAAAUAUGCCCCAAACUCAGGCUUUCAGCCUGGCCCUGCCUGACUCACUGAGCUGCAUUGGACAAAUGAUUCAUUCACUGGCCUUGACCUCAGUGGGUUUGGCCACCCAUUGAGAGUGAAGUCACACCUCCAGCACUGCGAUGCAUUUAUUGAUCCACUCACCUAGCUUCAUGGCAGGCAAGAAACAGGCCUGUGUGAGCCUGCCCAGGAUCAGGGACAGGAGAGCACACAGGUGUUUCUGGAUAUCCUCAAGCUGUAGCUGGGCUGCUCGAUUCUUCCCUAGGAGAUCCUCCGGGGGCCUGAAUUAGUUUGCUAGGGCUUCCGUAACAAAGCGCCACAGACUGAGCGGCUUAAAUAAAAAUGUGUCAUCUCAUGGUUCUGGAGGCUGGAAGUCUGAGAUCAAGGUGCUGGGGAUUAGGACUUGAACAUAUGUUUUUUGGGGGCACACUUCAACCCUCCGGAGGGCCUGUGCCCCAAAGAGAGCCUCCUUCUGUGUGCAGUGAAGGUGUGAGUUCUAAACAUGAGAAAAAAACACCCCUUGUUCUUGGAUAGGGUGACUCGAUACCACAAGCAGGUCCAACUGGCCCAGGUAAAUAUAUUCGUUUAACAUGAUCGUCACCAAAAUAUUGAGGGUAGGUGUUUUUUUCUGGAGUUAAACAAGUUGAUUCUGGAGUUGAUAUGAAAUAAUAAACAAGCAAAAAUA
rnacentral:lncRNA from 1 species